GUACUACUGAAGAGUCCCACAAUAGGACGAAACGGUCGUCCAGUGC
rnacentral:hammerhead_ribozyme from 1 species